UUUCGCCCCAGACGCGGCAGGCGCUGCGCGCAGAGCCCGGGACCCGUGGAAAAGAUGGGGUACACGGCAAGGAACCGGUUUCUAGAGCCCGGGUGCGCGGCCCGGGCUGCUGCGGACCCGCUUGGCCAACAAUACCAGAGAUCUAACUCAUGCAUGGCAAGCAAGUGUUCUAAUGCUGAGUUGCAUCAUCAGGCCCUCAGCUCCCAGAAAGACAUCGCUGGAUGGCACAUGAAGCUGCAAAUGUUCCAGCUGAGCCCAGCCCAUCUCAGAACCACAAAGGGCAUGCUAUUUUGGGAGCCUGCAGCAGCAGAUCCAUGACAACUACAGGAACCAGAGUCAAGGAUGCCUCGGGAACCCCAACAGGUGGAAGACGGUAGGCUGAGCCCCUCUCGUUCUCACUGGGCCCCUCAUCCACCAGAUCCAAAGGAAGCUGAUGCAGGAGGAGGUGUCUAAUGGCGGAGGCAGAACUCUCCUGCUGUCACCUGUGCAAAGUGCUGUGUGUCUGCGCGCAUGCUGUGUGUAGGGGGAGCGUGUCAGCAUAUGAGACUGCAGAGCUGCCAGGAGCACACGUCUGGGUGUGUCCCGGUGUCUCUAUGGUCCUGCUUCCUGCCGCUCUUCUCCCUGCCAUGAGCUGCUUUUCUCUCACUCUCACUUGUGCCUGGACCCCUCUGAGCCUCCUGAAGGCCAGAUCUCCUUCAUACCUUCUUCUGUUCUUAGAUUAGCAAAUAAAAACUGGCAAUGCCCUUUUAAAUCACUGCCUUCAUGUAGUAAAAACAAGAAGCCUACCACGAGAAGAACUGGCCCUGAAUCACAAGGCAGCUCAGUGCCAGGGCACAGGGGAGCACCAGACUGACAUGUGGCAGGACCAUCCUCUCCAGUCACAGCUGCUCUUGUUGGGUAAAGGACCUCUCCCACCCUCACCUGCCUUUAGGGGAAACCUCUGACCUUCCUUUUGGCCUCAGUGGAACCGCGAGCUGCAGACUGUGAGAUCCAUAGGAGAUACCCAGCCCUCCGGGCCAGCACCAGCAGAGCUGAUUUAGCACAUCUUCAACCAGACUUGCCCUCGGCGGGGAACACACCCUUUCUCUCCAUGUCCCCUUCUUCCCCUCACUUGUCCCAGGGGAAGAUGGCCAUCACUGUUAUCUUUGCUUUGCCCAGCUCCUUUUUCUCUAGCUCCACCUUGCCAAGUCAUGUUGUUCCUUCCUUUGAAGUGCUCCUGGAACUUUAACCAUGUCCUCCCCCACCUCCCAUACUCAGAGCCAAGGUCAUGGCAGGAAUCUGCAGUUCAGCUGGGGUGUGGCUUGCCAAGCCGUACCAUUGGCUCAGCUGCCUCAUCAGGACCUUCUCUUCUGACUUCUCUGUUCCCAGGGAACUUCCCUCCUAGCUUUGUCCAGAAGACCAGUCUAGGCAAUGCCCUACCUAUAGUCAUGUCUAUCAAUAUCCCCAGAAUCUUCUCAACUCUGAAGCCCGCUCCCUCCCACCUCUUCAUGCCUUACCUGUUUCCCCUCUCUCCUGAUACCCUCUCUUCUCUUCUGCACUGCUGCAGCUCUGAGCAAUCAUGGGGCUCAGUGGAAGUCCACUUUCUGAGGAUUAGCCUCUCCCAAUCGGGACAAGCAGUCAGCAGUAGGGACUGAGCGCUGGGGCCUGACAGAGUUGCGAGCCUGGGAAAUUGAGUCCCCACAGGUAUACAGGACUCUCUGACCCACAUCUAGAAUUCUAGAAUGCAGCCUGAGGAGGGAAGAGCCCUUUGCAUGAAGCCCUGGCCCGAGCUACAGAAGUUCUCCAGUGCAGAGAAGAAUCCAGAGUCCUAUCUGGAGCCAUGGUCAAUGAAUAUCUCUAGGUGGGUUACAGGAGAGGGGCACAACUCCCUCCCCCCUUCCCCAACAUCCUAUCAUGAAGUUUAGUCUUUGUUGCUCCCCU